rnacentral:lncRNA from 1 species
UAGAAUUUAAGCCCAAACAACUAAGCAUAUUGUUGAUAUUAUUUAAUUGGCCUACACGUAAAAAAAUAAUCUGAAACAUCAAAAUCUACCUCUGAAAUAAAUUAGUAAAACAAAGAUAAAUCCAAUAUUACAUGAGAAAAUUUUAUAAAAAAAAAUCCAUUCAAAAACAACUUUCGUCGUGAAUCAAAACGAGACUCAAAGUUGUCAUGCGAGCCUCCGCCCAUGUCGAGUCGAAGCUAUCAAAAGCUUUCAUCGCCAUUUUGCCCAAGACCAUAUUGUCCUCGUCUCAUGCUAUACACCCAAGUCCGGUCGUACGCGUGCUAGCAUCCCAUGCAGCAUUAACAUUAAUUUUCACAUGGCUCGGGCCUAGGGCUCGCCACCAUUCAUCCUGCGGCUGCCUUGGCAGAUGAAUCAAAUUAUGGACACGAAACUUCUCAUGUAGUGAUUGCGCAAAGUUUAUUGGAGGAGGAGAGGAGUGAGGGUUUGAAAAUAGAAAGAUGAGAUGGG